CAUUUUCGGGGCAGGGUGUAAUUCCCGACCGACGGUAAUUAACUUAAUUUAAAGUUAAAAGCCCGUGACCUACUAUAUUUAGUAGCUGAUCUAGUUUAAUUCUAGAGCCGACAGUAAAGUCUGGAUGGGAGAAGAUG
rnacentral:ncRNA from 1 species